AAAAAAAUUUUUCAAGUUGGUUUGAAUUUUCCAGAUCAAAAGUCUAAUUUCUAGACUUCUUUCCUGACAAAAAGUGCCAAGAAAAGCUGCAUUAAAACAGCAAAUCUCAUUUUAAAAACAUUUAAUGAAUUAAAAAGCAGACUCACACCAAACUAAUGAAAGCUGUUUAAAAGAAGUCAGUUGAAGUGGUUCUAAGCAUUUAUUUCAUUGCUUUUUUAACUCCUUGACUGUUAACACUAUAAGUGUGAAUUUGAGAAAAAUUAACUUGUUUUUGAACUCUAUAAAAAGUAUUUUUUUCUUUUAAUUAACUUUAUUGUUUUUAAAGCCCCGAAUCAAGCUCUAUUUCUGUGCUUGGGUAGUUCCCAUUUGCAAAUGGGGCAAUUUCUGCAUGUAGGUCUGAACAGGCUAUGCCACAAUUAUCCUUUUUAUUGUAACUUUACUGUCAAAGAAGUAGUUUUCUUCUCCAAAUGGAAAUUCAGUGUAACUCAAAUGCCUUGGCAAACAUAUUGUUAUUUCCACUUUUCAAAGGCAAUGGCCCCUGGUUCUGCAAACAAAACCCAGGUUGAGACCUGAAAAGAUCCAUAUCCCCUCAUUGUUACUUUGGCAUUGCACAUGGUAAUAACAGUUGCUGGCAUUUGUGGUUUCCUCUGUGCCAAGCAGAGUGCAGAUUGCUUUGCAUGGAUUAUCUCAUUUAUCUUUAUAUCACCUCUGUGAGAUAUGGGUAUGAUUAUCUUCAUCUCACAGCUAAGGAAACCUAAGCUCUGAGUCAUGUUUUCAACUUACUCAAGGCUAUACCCAGCUAGCAAAUGGUAGAGCCAGAAUUCUAACCCAAGCUAUAACAUGAGCAUCUCUGCUAUACUGAUUCAUAGGGAUAUACAUUUAUAUGGAUACAUAUAUAUGUAUAUAUAAUAUGUUUAUAUAUAGUUUUUCUAGUUAAUAAUUCAUCUUUGAAGACUCUUGAGUUUUGAGGACUAACUAUACCUACCUAGUAAUUGGCCUUUGGAUGUCAGGUCCUGUGCUGAGUUCUUUACUAGAAAUUUGCUGUCAUUGAACUGUCACAAUCCAGUGUAACUAUGCCUCCCUUUAUGAGCAAGACAUAAAGAUUUUAAUGUGGUCAUUGUCACUGGCUAAUAAGAGGCCAACCCAGGGUAUUAGAACCUGGUCUGGCAGCUGGCUUUCUCCAAACAAAGCUAUUUUUCUGUUUCUGGCUAAGAACUAUGGGACAAGCUACACAAAAAGAUUGAAGUACAGUUGGAGGAGGGGUGUUUUUUAAUGUGUGGUGGCAUUUGUCUCUGUGGAAUCUGAUUAUCUUUAGACGACUUUCUAAAACAUGAUUUCCUACUCACAGAAAUAUUGGAAAAAUUUGUUUUGAAAAAAAUUUGCCCUUUCCUAGAAGGUUAAGUAUUUGAAGCAUUUCCCUCUUUUCUGUCCCAUCCCUUUCCUUCCUUUAGCAAACAUUAGUUAAGUAGUUAUUAUGUGCUGUGGUCAUUGCAUGAUGAACUGGGAGCACUUAAAGGACUAUAACACAUUCCCUGACCUAUAAGAGCCUCCAAAUGCGUUUUGAGCAGCUACUGUGUACUGCUCACUUUGAAGUUUACAGAUAAGGAAGUAGAAAUUCAUAAAGCCUUCAGGGGAUUGAGUUUACAGUGUAGAUUCCCUCCACAUUUGCAUCACACAUACUGAGAUCUUUCUCUGUGCCUACACCUAACCAUAGAAUCUUGCCAUUGUAUCACAUUUUCUCUCUCUCAAUUCUGUGUUUCUUUCCAUUGUAAUGAACAGCCUAUACAUCAUGGGGACACAUGAACCACUUGCAAACUCUCUUUAAGGAUCUGGAGCCUCUUUUCCUUUUGGGGAUCAGUAAUUGGGAAGUAUGAAAUGAUAGUGUGAAUGUUAACUAAAUUCAAGAAAGGAAAUUUUAAAGUCUUGAAAAGGUUUGAAAAUCUUCUCUCUCUCUCUUUUUUAAAAUUUUGUUAAUGUCCUUAAUUGUUGCUUCUCUAUACUCAGAGGAAGCCUAACCUAGUGUUUCUCCAUUGUGGUUGGUUAUCAGUUAUCACCAGAGUACUUGGUCUCAGACAUCAACCCAUACCUACUUCAUAAGACUCUUGCUCACCCUGCUUGAAUUUUUAACGUGCUUAAGUGCUUCUUAAACACCGUAGCCCUUGAGACCUAUUUUCUUGUUGAUUUUGUAUGUAUUUAAGGAGAAGCAGAAGAAAUUCGGAUUUGAGUAAAAAAGGAAAUUACAGAGGGAUACUCAAUGACUUGUGAGCCCUAAAAGAAACCUCAGUAGAUCUUGGUAAAUUGAGUUGAAGUUGAAGUUGGCUCAAAGACCUGCCUUCCUAACAAAUGGCAGUUUCUUCAGUGGUUCUAAGUAGAAUGAGGCCAGAGUCUCCUACUAUCAGAUUCCAGAGUUUUAAAAAUCUUACUCACUUCUUAAUCUAAUUUUCUAACCAAGAUGAAAAAUAUUCCCCCCCCCCAAAAAAAAGAGGGUACUUCUCUACUUAGUUCCAAAGAGACCCUUUUAUCAGAUGAAUCCAGGUAAUCCUCACAGACCCGUCCUAAGGGAACCGAGCAAAUGGUGUUCAUUUUUUUUUUGUUGGACACUAGCUAGUGAAACCCUCUGUUAGAUAUUUUUGUCUUACUGAAUUUAACAGUUAUGUGAGAUGGUUAUUAUUUAUCUGAAAGUCAGGUAAAUAACUCCCCCAAAGAUACUGAAUUAAUCGGGAAAGUUCCUAGGAAUCAAACCAUGGUUGGCUGGAUUUCAAAACAUGUCUUCCUAAGGCAAUAAAAAUGGAAGGCAGUGCUUCCCACUCUAAAUCUCUCUUUCAAUUUCUCUCUCUCUCUCUCUCUCUCUCUCUCUCUCUCUCUCUCCAUCCCAGGAAGCCACCAUCUUUCCAAACUUAGCAGAGUAGCACAGAGUAAAAGGACUUUCCUCAUUUAUCCUGAAAGAGGGGUCAUCUCCUUUCGGAAUUUAGGUGUUUCCCUAACCCGUGAGAAUAUAGUACCCUUUGCCUCAGGGCAGUGGGAUACUUGUUUUGGUUCUAAAAGUCUUUCCUUCUGCCUCUUACUGGUAGAAUAAACAGAAAUGAUGUUUUAGUCAACAACAUUAUAUAGCCAAAUAGGUGACACUGUCGAUGUCAAAGCUAGGAGAGUUGACUGUAAGACAGUGAUGAGACGUUUAUGUUCGAAAACUAGAAACUCAAAAUUAAGAAUGUCUCUGCAACUGUAACUUUAGCACAUUUGCCUGAGUGUUAUAAUGUAUUCACUGUAAAGUCUAGAAGCCUUAUAAAUAUAUGACUGGCAGUUGCCUCAGGCAGAAAUCUUUUACCGAUGCAAUGAGAUAAAAGUAAUUAAGCUACAUGUAGACUGAUGGGUAAUUAAAUCCAUGUGAAGCAUUUUGUAACUAAUUGCUAUGUUCUAAUCACAGAUUGCUUUCUAUUUGUCAAGGUAAGUGUAUAUAAUUACACAGUCCUUAUUUUCUUUAAUCUGAAAUCAUCCCAGUUGGGUGAAUAUUUUUAAGCACUCUGAAUCUUAGAAUAUUUGGUAUAUUUCUUACAUAAAGAUAAUUUGCAUAUUUUGUCAUUCGAGGACUUUUUAUAUUAAAAUAGCUGUUUGUGUCGCUGACAGCAGUUCUGUGAUCAAUAGAGGUUUCUAUAAUCUAGAUUGAUUUUUCAUUUUAAAUUUUUUUAAAAAAAAUUUUAAAUAAGGGAGUUCCCCUCGUGGCUCAGUGGAAACGAAUCUGACUAGCAUCCAUGACACAGGUUCGAUCCCUGGCCUCACUCAGUAGGUUAAAUCCGGCGUUGCUAUGAGCUGUGGUGUGGGUCGCAGACACCUCUCGGAUCUGGUGUUGCUGUGGUUGUGGUGUAGGCCAGCUGCUGCAGCUCCGAUUCGCCCCCUAUCCUGGGAACCACCAUAUGCCACAGGUGCA
rnacentral:lncRNA from 1 species